GGUGUUACCUGCACUGAGUAUGAAAUGAUGAAAUGAAUACAAGUUUGGGAAAAAGCCUUAAGAAUGAAGACUGAGUUGGAGAGAUGGGUAACAGCAGAAGUGCAAAAAGGCUGCUUCUCUUUUUGUCCCCUUUCCAUUAUUAUUAUUAUUGUUCCUUUGCUUACUUGCAAGAAGGAUCUCUCACCUUUUCCUUUUCUUAUUGAGAGUUCACAUCUUUUUUUAGCCCUUUGUAAGAUAUCUGUCACCAAACCCUUCUCUGCCUUCCCCAUGUUUAAUUUGUACAAAGCCUUUUCUAUUUUAAAAAAAGAAAAAAAACUGUAUUUGCAAGAUAUAUAAAUUUGGUUUAUAUAUAUAGCUUUGCUUAGUAUAGUUUUUCUUUUUUUUUUCAUACCAAAAUUGUCACUUCUUAACAGCAAUACCAAAAUGGCCACCUUUUUUAAAAUGUUGAUACCACAAAAUAGAUCACUUCACAAGUUUGUAAUUGUUUUUUUUUUUCUUUUUUGAGAAAAAUGACAGGAUUGUCUUACAAAACAAAAGAAAUUGAACACAAAUAUGAUGCCAGGUCGAUAACACUUUGACGCUUAAGUUAGUAAUGAAUUUAGAUGGAUACGGACAGUAGAAUGCAGACAAAAAAGUUUGCAUAGCCUUAAUAUUGUGAAAUAGACACUUAGGCUCUUGUAACUACCCAAAGUGGUGGCUAAUGUUUCACUUGCCCCUAAACCCUAACUCUCCAGCAAAUCCAGCAACUCCAGCAACUCCUUCACGAAUUAUCUGUUAGGAAUUUAGAUCACGACCCCUUGGCCUAGCACAUAGGUGCAAUGGUCCUCCUUGAUACAAUUAUGUCCUUGAUGUUGAUACAUAUCCAUGGUAUUAUUAUGUCCUCUGCGUAGGUCUUCUAUGUUAUCAUUAGUUCCUUCUUGAGCCUUGCAGGGUCAUCCAUGGUACUGUACUACUACUACUGCUUCCAUAUGGCCUUCAUGGUACCACUAGGAGUUAGGACCUUCGGGUUGAUAAACACCUAUUAGUAGAAGGCUUUCUAGGAGCAACUUGAGGUGUGAAGUUUAUAUGCAGCUUGUAGCCAAGAAGAGAGCCAAGUGGCACGAUCACUUUUGCCAGAACUGUGUGGAAAAAUAGUGGUAAUUGACGAGUCAAGAUUUGUUGGCAUACUCCCUUCAUAUUGAAGUUCUGGUUGAGCAUAUGAAUAAAGUUAAUUUUGAUUGUAAAAGGAAUGAGAAGGUCUCCCACAUUAAAAGCGAUUCGAACAUUCUAUAAA